rnacentral:rRNA from 1 species
UACAGAGGGUGCGAGCGUUAAUCGGAAUUACUGGGCGUAAAGCGCACGUAGGUGGCGACGUAAGUCGGGUGUGAAAGCCCCGGGCUCAACCUGGGAAUUGCAUUCGAGACUGCAUUGCUGGAGUACGGAAGAGGAAGGCGGAAUUCCCGGUGUAGCGGUGAAAUGCGUAGAUAUCGGGAGGAACAUCAGUGGCGAAGGCGGCCUUCUGGUCCAGUACUGACACUGAGGCACGAAAGCGUGGGGAGCAAACAGG